UUCUGUUAGGAACAAAAUCUAUCAGAGAUGGCCAAGCUAUCCACGCAGCCAGAUUCUUGGUACCACAUACUCUGACAGCAUCAAACUCCAAAUUAUGUCGUCAAAGAACAAAAGGGCAGUGACCCAUGAUGUCCUCCAAAGCUCAGUAACAUCCUGAGUGACAGCGAGGGACCUGACCACAGCUCCUAGGAUGCUAACAGUAACAAUUAUUGAGCAUUGAGUAUUCACCAUAUGCUAAUGACUUGAGAUGCUCAAUCCUUCUGAGCAACGUAAUGCGACAGAUAUCAGUGUUCCUCCUUCAUAGAUGAAGAAGCUGAAGCACCAAGGAAUUAAGUAACAUGUCAGAAGUCACACACACAACUGGAGAGUGACAGAGUGUAGACACCAUGUGACCAGAUGCACCAGUUCCUGCUGCUGUGACCUCCUGCCUGGAUGGACUGCACCCAACUAUCAGGACCUGGGCUCUCAUCUGCUGGUUUAGACCCACGCCUGCAGUAGCUGCCAUGCACCCCACCAUGAUGACGAUGGACUCUCACUCCCUGGAACUUCAAUCCCCAAAUCGACCCUUCCUUCUAUAAAUUGCCUUGGCUGUGGUGUUUUA